rnacentral:misc_RNA from 1 species
GCGACGCUUCGCACAAUACAAAGGUGGAGCAGGGGUGUGGUGAGGCACCAAACACCUUAUCGCGUGUAGGGGAGAUACCGUCAUCGCCUUCGUGCUUGUCUGCUUGUGCGUGUGCGCGUGUCUGUGUCCUGGCGUCUACGUCGCGAGUCCUUUUGCCUUCUACGGCCCGCACUCCACCUACGCCCAAGCGAAGCGCGGCCUGCCCCUCCAUGUAUCCAGAAGAGGCGAAAGACUGUAGCACACGCAAUCGGGGAGAGGGAGAAACUGCGUGCGACUCAGCAAGACAAGCGCAACGCGUAAGAGAGGAACACAAGACAAACACACAUACACACACAGGCACCUCGUGUGAGACAACGCCGCCUUCUCGUUGGGGAGUUUUUUUUUCUUGUGCUGCCGCUACGCCGCGCCCAAGUGCGCGGAGGGAAGCGGCGGAACCCUUUCGAGAUUCCCAACAACCGCCGCCUCGUGAGCAGGUGAGGCGCCAUGAGGAGCGCGGGGAGGCCCUCCGUCGAUGCUGCACAGCCGCAGGAGGCAGGCAGCACAACGCGCUCCACGACAACAAAGCCUCCGCUGGCACCUGCUGCGAACCCGCCGCCCCUGCCAGCCACUAAUGCCCCUUUCUCGCUGGACGGCUUCAUGGGCAACUUCAGCGGCGCACUGGCCACCACGACCGGAGAUCCAUCCGAGGAGCCGCAGCACGGAAGCACGAGCUACCAAAGAGACCCCUCGAUGUACGCCCCAUUCGCGGCCCAGGAAGGCAACGGUGGCAUGCUCGACUUUUUCUUCUCUGCCGCUGCCUCCGAAACCCCGUGCGCCAGCAGUGCCGGCAGUAACAGCAACAACACGGGCAUCGGCCACGGUGGCGGCGAAGCUGCCAACGGUUUCAACGCCGCGCCAGCAGGACCCCUGGUGGACAACAACAGCGAUGACGACAAAGUUGGCCGACUGAACUUCGACUUCGCCUCCUUUUUUUUCCAAGGUGGGCAGAGCGGCGCCUACGACGACAGCGGACUUGAUGCAGCUGGACGUGGCGACGACGGGGGCGGCGCCGACGCAAGAGGCUCGGAGCACUACACUCAGCGCGGCAGCGCUGACGUGGCGGACAGCACCGGCAAGGGCGUCCUGCCAGCACUGGGCUUCUUUUUUCCAGAGUAUCAAGUAGCCCCGGCAGCGACCGGCGGCUCUUUCAUUCCGCCCUCAACCUCAUGGUGCGUCGAGUCGGCUGCUGGCGCUGGCAACAGAUAUUCACCGCCGCAGGUGCAACCGCAGAAUCCAGAAGCAGUCAGAGAAGCUGCGGCCAGGUUCAAAGUGGACGAAGCGGCUCACACCGUUGCGCAACCCGGUGCGGCGCUGACGGUCCUGAAGCCUGAUCCGACGCACAUUGCCCCCGCCGAUCAAGCGCCCCUGAAGAGACUGCCGUGUGAGCACGCCUCCUCGUCUGCGAUAGAUCAUGAGUGCUCAUUGGCCGCAGCGCUUGCUGCAGCACCAUCUUCGUUGGGCCUGCUCUUGGACGAGGAGUCUCAGCGCACGACGGUGCCGCUCUCGAGCACCAGCGACGCUGAAGAGGCGAAAUGUGACGAAACAUCACCGAGGCUCGUUUCGGACAACUCUUGCCCCAAUCCGGAGGCGUGUGAUAGCAGCGUUGCACAAGGCGUGGCCGAGGAGGACGCAAUGCCCGUCCCGACCCACAGUGGACAACCCCCACCGCGUGCACCUGUAGGCUCGCUGCCCCGCUCUUCGCAUCCACCAGGUGCCGCUCUGGCAGGUGCAGUGGCUACUCCGACACCGCCAUCACCUAGACAGCCACCAGCACCCCUGACACCGUCGACAUCUACGCCGUAUCGCCCAGAGGCCCCCAUGCUGAUGGGGCCAGCUGGCCGCGACGCUACUAGCGUGGCUCUGAGCAAAGCUAUCGCAGAGGCUGAGGAAAUGUGGGCACACGGGCUUGACAUGGAAUCGAUUACCUGCCCUGAGGGUCCGAAUGAGGAGAUGGGCAUGUCGUCUUUCGGUUCCACGCCAUCCUCUUCCUCCGACGCGGUCUUCUUUGCAGAGGUGGCGCAGCUGCAACAGCAGACAGCACGACUAACGGAGGAGUCUGCCCGAUCCGCCACCUCUCUUCAAGCUCUAACGAGCGACCUGCUCCGCAUUGUCGGCCCCCACGCGGCGCUUUCGAGACUCGCGGGAGAGCAGUACGCCGGGACGCCGCUGGUUCAUCUGCCGUGGGCCCUGAUUGCAGUGCUGGAGGGAUUACUGAAUAACGACGCAGCUGAAGAGAAGGCGGAAGGUCAACUGGUGGCACCUCGCCCCUCUAGCGAUGGUGCGGAGAUUGGCAGCAGCGGUGGCCAUGACGUCUGACACGCAGUACCGCCAAGAGAGGGAUCUCCCCCCGAUAUUCGAACCGAGAGGCCUGAUAUCUUGCUGCCCACAUCUCUCAAGGCCUUUGCCACUUACUCUUCCUCUUGCCUCACGAAUUCGUCUCGCGUAUGCCGACGUAUGUGACGGCGUUGGCCGCGUCGGUGCUGAGUUGCACGUGACGGCUGCCAACGACAAGCCUCCCGUUUCCCCUCUCGCUCUGAAAAACCUCGGCUUCUCGCACGCGCGCGUUCUCAAGGACGAGGCUGCACGCCGGCAGGGGCGCGGUGGCGUGCUAACUCCCUGGAAGAACGGCCGAAGCAACCGAAAAAGACGUGCACGUCAGCCCUCGUGCGAACUGCUGCUUCAGCCCAUGUAUACGCACUGCCACCGAAACCCAAACGCACAUGCGAACAAGUCUACACACACACACACACGGAUACAAUCGGGUCGCGUUCUCCACUCGGCCAUCUCUCAGUUGCUUGCAUUGAUGGCAUCAGCUGUCGCGCACAUGCGUAUCUUCUCAUAGAGCCGUAGGGCUCCAUUUCCCGACUGCUCCGCUGCGGUUCUUUGUCGCGUCGGCGGUUGUCCGUGUACACGCGUCCUUGUACGCGAUGCCAUGUGCUUGGCACGUGGAUCGUUUGGAAAGCGCCGUGUUCUGCUCCUGCCUGCUCUUGUCUCUGCUCACCUUUGUUUUUGCUGAAGUGCUGGUAAUCGUUGAAGAGGAAGAAGAUGUGAUGCUCUCACGAGGCUCCGUGCGGAUGGUUCGCUGCCUCGCAUGCGUGACGUGUGCGGCAGUGCCUGGGCGCGUCUGUUUCGUUCUUUCGACCCUGGCAGCGCGGCAUGCGGGAAUGCACGGAGGAGGGUGCCCUCCGAUACGCAUCGACACGCGAGUGUGACUCUCCGGUCUCCCAAGUCUGUGUCUUCUCGCAUGUUUUGCUCCGCCGCUUACAGUGUGCUGGUGUGUGCGCAAGUGCUCUCCUCGCUCGACGCACGCACCACCAUGUGCUCACUGGCACCGCCAUCGUCUUUUCUGCGCCCUUCCUCUCUCUCUAACACGCACUUGCUGUUUACGCCAACAUUCAAG